rnacentral:misc_RNA from 1 species
GAAGAAGCAUCAUGCCAAGCAUAAAAACAAGCGUAAAGAAUGCAGUAAAAUUUAUUCAUUAAAAAGAAAAAAAGAAAAGAAUUACAUCUGCUUAAAUGGCAUAAAAACAAGGGUUGAGCUGCCAAACGCUCGAGCUCAUAUAAGCUCGACUUCUCAAUGCAUAAUGCAUUGAGAAUUCUGUAUCAGCGUAAAGUGUAAACCAAUGACAGCCAUUACUACAUCACUGCAUGAACACUACAAUUAUCCCGCAGAGUGCAACAGAAUGCAAGGCCACCAAGAAUGCUGUCAGAUAGGCAAUAAGUGCAUGAAUUUUGCAUUUGGAUUCAGUCUUCAAAAUAAAUGCUCAUCCUUUCUUCCAUUGUUCUUAAAUUUAUGCAGCAGUCCAAAAAAGAAAGAUCAGGAUUUACCAAUAAUCCUUACAAGAACAAGAACCAUCUCUAAAAUGGUGAAAUUGACUACGAUCCCUCACAACAAUUUCUCUGUUGAAGACCUUUGAUAUGAGUUUGAUUGCCAAAUGACAAUCAGCACAUACUCUCAAAUUCUUGACAACCCUGAUUGGGGUUCCUGAAGGGGUAUUAAUGAGCAUAAAAGCAAUUGCAAUCUUCUCACUAUGAUAAAAUAAAGCAUUUUCCUUUUCUUCCUCCUCUACAUCUGCAAGCACAUUUGCCGUGUGAGGCACAUAACCUUCCAAUUUCAGCUUCUUUGAGAUCUCUACCAACAUCACAUAUAUUGCCUCACUUUGAGGAUGAGUUCUAUCACCCAUAACAAAUUCAUGUACACGAUUUCCCAGCUCUACAAGGCUAUGCCCUGGAGUUUUUCUUACUCCUUCACUAAGCAUUAUCCUUCUUACAUUAUGAACAUCCGACCAGCGUUGCUCAGAUGCAUAAAGAUUAGAGAUUAGCACAUAAUCUCCGCAAUGUUUAGGCUCUAACUGUAAGAGCUGGGCUCUUGCAAACUCUCCCAAAGCCAAAUGCCCAUGAAUUGUGCAUGCACCGAGCAAGGUCCUCCAGACAACAGCAUUAGGCUGCAGUGGCAUAUUCUGAAUAUAUUCAUGUGCUUCAUUCACCAAGCCUGCUCUACCUAACAAAUCAACCAUACAUCCAUAGUGUUCCAUUCUAGGCACAAUGCCAUAUUUCACUUUCAUCCUUUUGAAGUGAUUGAACCCCUCAUUCACCAUGCCACAAUGACUGCAAGCAUAUAAGACUCCAACAUAAGUGAUCUCACCGGGCACAAAUUGCUGUUUCUCCAUCUCCCUGAAAUGCUCAAGUGCUUCCAUACCAAAACCAUUAACAGCCAAUCCAACAAUCAAAGAAGUCCAAGAAACCACAUUCCUCUCCUCCAUCUCACCAAAAACUUUUUGUGCCUCUAUGAUGUUUCCACACUUUGCAUAAAGGUCCAAAAGGGCAUUAUUAGCAUGCAUAUUCUCAUUCAACCCAACUUUGACCAUAUACGCAUGAACCCUCCUACCCAAGGCCAAAGCGCCAAGCUCAGCACAAGCAGACAGCAAGCUAACUAUAGUGAAUCCAUCUGGUUCAACACCCUCCAAACCCAUUUCUUUAUAUAGUGUUAAAGCCUCAUUGGGUUUUCCAUUUAGAGCAAAUCCAUUAAUCACAGUAUUCCAUGCGACAAGAUCUCUUUCAGGCAUUAAUUCAAACAGCUUGUAUGCAUUCUCGUAAUGACCACAGGCAGCAUACAUAUGAACCAAACUGUUUUGAACAAACACCGAUGACUCAAAUCCAUUUCUUAUAACAAUUGAAUGUAUGUUUUCACCUACUCUAACGUUCACCAUCUUAGACACAGCCUUUAAAAGGAACGGGUAUGUGUGCGUAUCCGGUUCAGUGGAGUUCACAUGCAUAUGGUGAUACAAAUCAAUGGCUGGUCCUGGAUUUUCACUCUCAGCAUAGCCUCUAAUCAUAGUAUUCCAGGUGAAAACAUUUGGGCUUUGGAUUUGGUUAAAGAUACUAUGAGCAUAGGUCAUGGGGGCAGAGAGGGACACAAUAGAGUAUAUAAGGUGCUUGCCCAUGUCUGGGUUGGUGGGUGGAACACCAUGCCUGAUGGAGAAGGCAUGAAUUUGUUUCAGUUUGAAUUUGGAAGAGGCACAAAUUUGCAAAAGGGCAAUGCAUUUUUUGACAAUGUAAGGUAUUGGGUUUUCUGGACAGGCUGAUCUUGGGAUUAGAUCAAUUGUCUGAAUUUGAGAUGAGGAUGGUGCGAGAUAAUGAGAGUGGAGAACCAAUGGUUGGCUACUCCGGGUAUUUGAGAGCAUGAGAACAUCUGACUAGCCAAAGUUUAAUAACUUAAUAUGGCUUGAAAGUAUCCAAGCUACGAA